rnacentral:rRNA from 1 species
UACGAAGGGGGCUAGCGUUGCUCGGAAUCACUGGGCGUAAAGCGCACGUAGGCGGAUCUUUAAGUCAGGGGUGAAAUCCCAAGGCUCAACCUUGGAACUGCCUUUGAUACUGGGGAUCUCGAGUCCGGAAGAGGUGAGUGGAACUGCGAGUGUAGAGGUGAAAUUCGUAGAUAUUCGCAAGAACACCAGUGGCGAAGGCGGCUCACUGGUCCGGUACUGACGCUGAGGUGUGAAAGCGUGGGGAGCAAACAGGG